rnacentral:lncRNA from 1 species
GUAAGGAGGUUUUAGAGAGAAGGAGGAGAGUUUGAGAUUCUCAGAAGGUUGAGUUUGAGGAAGAAGAAGAAGGUUGCAUGCAAAAGUGGCGUCAGGCCUUCAUUCUCACCUUAUAUACUGCCUCCAAUCCGAACGGUCGGCCAACUCCAGCGUGACACCUGACUUCCACUUACUGGGGUUCACUGCUCUGCUGCUGCUGCACAGAUCACGAGGGAAGGGAAUUAAAAAGGUUGGCAGAGUUUG